UGCUCGAAAAUGUUAAAGUUCUUAUUUCAUGGUAUAACUUUGGUAUGCUUGGACCUAGAGUCUUCAAACUUGACAUGAAGGUUGGCCAGGAUUAACAGAUGACCACUGGUCAUUUCAAGGUCAUUCAUUUGAAGGUGAAGGUCACUGUGACCUUCAAUAUAAAAAUGUUAAAGUUGUUAUAACUUUGGUAUGCUUGGACCUAGAGUCUUGAAACUUGACAUGAAGGUUGGCCAGAACUAGUAAGUAACCACUGGACAUUUCAAGGUCAUUCAUUUGAAGGUCAAGGUCACUGUGACCUUGAAUGUAAAAAUGUUAAAGUUGUUAUAACUUUGGUAUGCUUGGACCUAGAGUCUUGAAACUUGACAUGAAGGUUGGCCAGAACUAGUAAGUAACCACUGGACAUUUCAAGGUCAUUCAUUUGAAGGUCAAGGUCACUGUGACCUUGAAUGUAAAAAUGUUAAAGUUCUUAUUUCAUGUUAUAACUUUGGUAUGCUUGUACCUAGAGUCUUCAAACUUGAAAUAAAGAUUGGCCAGUACUAGAAGAUGACCACUGGUCAUUUCAAUGUCAUUCAUUUGCAUGCAUUCAAAACAUAACACAAGG